rnacentral:rRNA from 1 species
AAUCAACGCUGGCAGCGUGCCUCAGACAUGCAAGUCGAACGAUUAAAGCUCUCUUCGGAGAGUGCAUAGAGUGGCGCACGGGUGAGUAACACGUAAGUAAUCUACCCUCGAGUGGGGAAUAACGUUCGGAAACGGACGCUAAUACCGCAUAAUGCAGCGGCACCGCAAGGUGACAGUUGUUAAAGAUUUAUCGCUUGAGGAGGAGCUUGCGGCAGAUUAGCUAGUUGGUAAGGUAAUGGCUUACCAAGGCUACGAUCUGUAACCGGUCUUAGAGGACGGUCGGUCACACUGACACUGAAUAACGGGUCAGACUCCUACGGGAGGCAGCAGUCGGGAAUUUUGGGCAAUGGGCGAAAGCCUGACCCAGCAACGCCGCGUGAAGGAUGAAGUAUUUCGGUAUGUAAACUUCGAAAGAAUAGGAAGAAUCAAUGACGGUACUAUUUAUAAGGUCCGGCUAACUACGUGCCAGCAGCCGCCGUAAGAC